rnacentral:rRNA from 1 species
AGAGUUUGAUCAUGGCUCANAUUGAACGCUGGCGGCAGGCCUAACACAUGCAAGUCGAGCGCGAAAGGCUUUCGGGCUGAGUAGAGCGGCGGACGGGUGAGUAACGCGUAGGAAUCUACCUGGUAGUGGGGGACAACUUGGGGAAACUCAAGCUAAUACCGCAUACGCCCCAAGGGGGAAAGCGGGGGAUCUUCGGACCUCGCGCUAUCGGAUGAGCCUGCGUAGGAUUAGCUUGUUGGUGAGGUAAAGGCUCACCAAGGCGACGAUCCUUAGCUGGUCUGAGAGGAUGAUCAGCCACACUGGAACUGAGACACGGUCCAGACUCCUACGGGAGGCAGCAGUGGGGAAUAUUGCGCAAUGGGCGAAAGCCUGACGCAGCCAUGCCGCGUGUGUGAAGAAGGCCCUAGGGUUGUAAAGCACUUUAAGCGGGGAGAAAAGGGUGGCCGUUAAUAGCGGUCACCUGUGAUGUUACCCACAGAAUAAGCACCGGCUAACUCCGUGCCAGCAGCCGCGGUAAUACGGAGGGUGCGAGCGUUAAUCGGAAUUACUGGGCGUAAAGCGCGCGUAGGCGGUUUGUUAAGUCAGCUGUGAAAGCCCCGGGCUCAACCUGNGAACUGCAGUUGAUACUGGCCGACUAGAGUACGAGAGAGGGA